AUUGAACGCUGGCGGUAGGCUUAACACAUGCAAGUCGAGCGGAGAUGAGGUGCUUGCACCUUAUCUUAGCGGCGGACGGGUGAGUAAUGCUUAGGAAUCUGCCUAUUAGUGGGGGACAACAUUCCGAAAGGAAUGCUAAUACCGCAUACGUCCUACGGGAGAAAGCAGGGGAUCUUCGGACCUUGCGCUAAUAGAUGAGCCUAAGUCGGAUUAGCUAGUUGGUGGGGUAAAGGCCUACCAAGGCGACGAUCUGUAGCGGGUCUGAGAGGAUGAUCCGCCAAACUGGGACUGAGACACGGCCCAGACUCCUACGGGAGGCAGCAGUGGGGAAUAUUGGACAAUGGGGGGAACCCUGAUCCAGCCAUGCCGCGUGUGUGAAGAAGGCCUUAUGGUUGUAAAGCACUUUAAGCGAGGAGGAGGCUACUGAGACUAAUACUCUUGGAUAGUGGACGUUACUCGCAGAAUAAGCACCGGCUAACUCUGUGCCAGCAGCCGCAGUAA
rnacentral:rRNA from 1 species